UACCAGCACCCCGAGUGGUCGGGACGUUUAUUGGGCCUAAAGCAUCCGUAGCCGGUUCUACGAGUCUUCCGUUAAAUCCAACUGCUUAACAGGUGGGCUGCGGAAGAUACUAUAGAGCUAGGAGGCGGGAGAGGCAAGCGGUACUCGAUGGGUAGGGGUAAAAUCCGUUGAUCCAUUGAAGACCACCAGUGGUGAAGGCGGCUUGCCAGAACGCGCUCGACGGUGAGGGAUGAAAGCUGGGGGAGCAAACCGG
rnacentral:rRNA from 1 species